CAUAGGACUCCUAAGAAGGAAAGGAAU
rnacentral:piRNA from 1 species